rnacentral:rRNA from 1 species
GCCUACGGGGGGCAGCAGUGAGGAAUAUUGGUCAAUGGGCGAGAGCCUGAACCAGCCAAGUCGCGUGAAGGAUGACGGCCCUAGGGGUUGUAAACUUCUUUUGUCAGGGAGCAAUUGGGUCCACGCGUGGGCUUAGCGAGAGUACCUGAAGAAAAAGCAUCGGCUAACUCCGUGCCAGCAGCCGCGGUAAUACGGAGGAUGCGAGCGUUAUCCGGAUUUAUUGGGUUUAAAGGGUGCGUAGGCGGAAUAUCAAGUCAUCGGUAAAAAUUCGGGGCUCAACCCCGCCGUGCCGUUGAACCUGAUGU